CAGUCGCCGCGGUAAUACAGAGGGUGCAAGCGUUAAUCGGAAUUACUGGGCGUAAAGCGCGCGUAGGUUGUUUGUUAAGUUGGAUGUGAAAUCCCCGGGCUCAACCUGGGAACUGCAUCCAAAACUGGCAAGCUAGAGUAUGGUAGAGGGUGGUGGAAUUUCCUGUGUAGCGGUGAAAUGCGUAGAUAUAGGAAGGAACACCAGUGGCGAAGGCGACCACCUGGACUGAUACUGACACUGAGGUGCGAAAGCGUGGGGAGCAAACAGGAUUAGAUACCCGAGUAGUCCCUGUCUCUUAUAC
rnacentral:rRNA from 1 species